rnacentral:lncRNA from 1 species
GAUAAACUGUAUUGCUAAAAUUGGUUGACCUUUUUGUAUAAUGAAUCAGUACCCAUACCACUUGUCUGGAAAAAAAUUCUCUCUAUCAAAGUAUAUAUUUCUAACUAUAAAUAUAAGUUUAUCUAACUCAAAUGGUCUUGAAUGUUGGUCACUGCUUUCUUUACAUUAGUUCACUUGUGUUGUCUUAGUGUUGGCAAUUUGGCAUAGAUUACCAGACUCCAGAAAGAAUAAUAGGAGCAGGGUGAUCAUUCACAUUUUUUGAAAUGGUGUUUCUAAAUAUUGAUGUAUAUGAAUGAGCUUUACUUUUUCUUGAUUAGUCAGAUAUUGUUGUUGCCAAUUAUGCACUUCCACAGUUUUGUUGGUAGUAAUAGCAGAGACAUAAUUGACUCGCAAUAUUGACUUCUCAA